rnacentral:rRNA from 1 species
AUUGAACGCUGGCGGCAUGCCUUACACAUGCAAGUCGAACGGCAGCACGGGGGCAACCCUGGUGGCGAGUGGCGAACGGGUGAGUACUGCAUCGGAACGUACCCAGUAGUGGGGGAUAACUAGUCGAAAGAUUAGCUAAUACCGCAUACGCACUGAGGUGGAAAGCGGGGGAUCGCAAGACCUCGCGCUAUUGGAGCGGCCGAUGUCCGAUUAGGUAGUUGGUGGGGUAAAAGCCUACCAAGCCGACGAUCGGUAACUGGUCUGAGAGGACGACCAGUCACACUGGGACUGAGACACGGCCCAGACUCCUACGGGAGGCAGCAGUGGGGAAUUUUGGACAAUGGGGGCAACCCUGAUCCAGCAAUGCCGCGUGUGUGAAGAAGGCCUUCGGUUGUAAGCACUUUGGUCGGGUAAGAAACGGACGCGUUGC